rnacentral:rRNA from 1 species
GACGAACGCUGGCGGCGUGCCUAAUACAUGCAAGUAGAACGAGUUUCGCAGGGGUGAGUAACGCGUGGUAAACUUCCUCAUACCGGGGGAUAACUAUUGGAAACGAUAGGUAAUACCCCCUAUCAUGAGAUGGACCUGAUUUGGAUUAGCUAGUUGGUGAGGUAAUGGCUCACCAAGGCCACGAUCCCUAGCUGGUCUGAGAGGAGGAUCAGCCACACUGGAACUGAGACACGGUCCAGACUCCUACGGGAGGCAGCAGUGGGGAAUAUUGGACAAUGGGGGAAACCCUGAUGCAGCCAUGCCGCGUGUUGAGAAGGCCUUCGGGUUGUAAAGCACUUUUGGCAAAGAAGCGGUAUCCGCAGAAGAAGCACCGGCUAACUACGUGCCAGCAGCCGCGGUAAUUC